CAGCCGCCACGGUAAUACGUAGGGUGCAAGCGUUAACCGGAAUUACUGGGCGUAAAGCGUGCGCAGGCGGUAAUGUAAGACAGAUGUGAAAUCCCCGGGCUCAACCUGGGAACUGCAUUUGUGACUGCAUUGCUGGAGUGCGGCAGAGGGGGAUGGAAUUCCGCGUGUAGCAGUGAAAUGCGUAGAUAUGCGGAGGAACACCGAUGGCGAAGGCAAUCCCCUGGGCCUGCACUGACGCUCAUGCACGAAAGCGUGGGGAGCAAACAGGAUUAGAUACCCGAGUAGUCCCUGUCUCUUAUAC
rnacentral:rRNA from 1 species